rnacentral:rRNA from 1 species
GGGUCAGUAGGUUGGUCGUGCCACCGGUACGUACUGGUCUCACUGGUUCCUCCUUCCUGAAGAACCGUAAUGCCAUUAAUUUGGUGUUGCGGGGAAACAGGACUGUUACUUUGAAAAAAUUAGAGUGUUUAAAGCAGGCUAACGCUUGAAUACAUUAGCAUGGGAUAAUGAAAUAGGACGAUCGAUCCUAUUUUGUUGGUUUCUAGGAUUGACGUA